GCCCAGCUCCGCUGUGGUUGCUGUGAGCUGGUUCACUGGUGAAAACCUCAGCAUUUUUUAUUUGGUGGGAAUUAGUACCAGUGAUGAGGCAUGUGUAUUUGGAAACGGUAACACUCCAUCGGUACAUGUGAGUGGUUUUCGAUGCAACCCAGUCCUCACAACACUGAGGAAACACAGUUGGGAAACUGAGGCACACAGAGGAGGUGGCUCUCCCAGGGCCACAUGGCUGGGAGAUGUGGCAGCUCUGAUGGUGGGGUCUGACCUGGGGCAAAGGAAUACAAAAUUCCAUGGUGGUGGAUAUUCAGAGACAGGAGUGAAAUCCCAACAAGCGGCCCAUUUUAUAUCAGGCAAAUGUCGGAGACGGUAAUGUGGCCAGGCCUUCCCUGCCAGGAACUGUAGAGACCCUGAGGACUCAGCACCUGCUGUCACUUGAACCUAGGCCCAACUCCUGCCCCAGUGCUCUUUCCACCAAAGCAGCUUCCUUGAAUACACCUGGAUUCCUGGGAGUGAGUUUCUUUGCCACUGGAAUGAACCAAUGAUCCAGAUGAGGAUUUCAGGAUGGUUCUGCCCUGCCUGCCUCACAGCACCCUUCCCAGAGCAGGCGGGGGAGCGCGAGGCAGGGUGGCUCUUGCCUGGGGACAGGACUGGGGGGCAGAGGCAGCUCUGAGCUCUGCACCCAUUUGCAUCCCCUGCUCACCAUCAGGAGCCCUCCUUCCCUGCCCUGGUUCCUCAAGGCACAGCUUCCCCAGGCAGAUGAAAGCUUACCGGAGUUCUGCGACAUGAAAGUCAGUCAGAGGAAAGAGCCUUGAACAGUUCUGCAUGAAAGAGAGAGGCAAGUGCCCGAAAUUAUCUUACGGCAAAGGCGGCACUCGCUGCCACAGAGGCCCGGAGGAGAAAGAAACCUGGAAAACGGGUCGUUUCUUUCAUGGAAAAAUGGAAACUGCUCUGAAGCAUUUUGGGAGAUGUGCUGUGAAGCAGGUGACAGCAGAAGACGGGGACACUGGGUGCUCCCUGCCAGGAGGUGCAAAAGGCAACUUCCCUUUCAGGAUCAGAGGAGCCUGGAUGCUAACGUCUCCAGAGGGUGACUUGGGUCCAGUUGCCGGAAAGGCCACGCCCUUAGGAACACAGAGCCUUGCCAGACGCCCUUUGGCUUCUUCAAGAACAUGCACUGAGCUGGCCUCACUGCAGCGUGGUUUACUUGUGCUUAUCUUCACGAGGUCAUUAAGAAGAGGCCCGAAGAGGGCGAGGGCCGGUUCUCAGGCUGCCUGCUGCCCUGGCCAGGCCGUUUCCUUCUCCAGGGCCACCUCUGCUAACUCUUCACAAGAAACAAGGUCAUAUUCCCUCGUCUAAGCAAGGGAGGAAACCAAAGGCAGCUUUGAUAUGUCAACUUGGGGAACAAGCUGCCGGCGCAGCUCACGCGCGCUGCUUUCUGCCUGAGCAAAUGGCUCUAAAUGGCGUACUUCAGGCUCUCCUCUUAAUGUGCUGGGUGUUUAUGAUUUUUUAAAAAGUGCCUCAUCAAAAAAAUGCAAUAGUGAUGUUCCCAACUCAGCAGCGGCGUUUUAGGAGAGAUGAAUUAUUCACAUCAGAGAUGAAACCGGGACUGUACACACUGGGCCAGCUGAAGCAGUCCCCUCCCUGGGAACUAUUUUUAUCUUCUCUUACAGUCUUUCAUCUUGGGAGACACGCGGUUAGCAACGUAAGGGGAGCCCAAGCUGGCAGGAUGUCAAACCCUGAAGUACCAGGCGUCUUGGAGCCUCUGCCUGGAGUAGGAAAUCCGAGGAACCGGAAGUGUGGAAAACAGGGCCGCAGCGACGUGAAUGAGGAUGAUUGAGGGAUUCUGGGGACUCCCAGUUUCUUACCCUCGGAGGCCUCUCAAAGGCUUCACCAUUGUCGAGCCAGGGCACCAUGAAGCUAUCUUGCCCUUUCUUUUCCUGGCAUCCAGUUAUUCCCCACCUAAUAAUGCGUGGAGCACUUGGGAAGGAGUAUGGAUUCUACAUGGUGCGCAUGGAGCAGCAGGCCCUGAGGAAGGAAGGGAUUUCAUUAUCGCAAGACCAGCAGCGCCCCAAACUGCACAGGCCUUGACAGUCCAGCAUCACCACACUCAACCCUUGCCCAUUUGCUUUAAAAAGCACCUAGACCCACACUGUCUGAGAUAGCAGCCAUGAGCCACUGGGUACUGAGCACUUGAAAUGCGGUUGGAACCAAGCUGAGAGGUGCUGUUAGUGCAGUGGCACACGGGACUCCAAAGACUUGGCUCAAAAGGAGAGUGGGAACUGUCUCGCUAAUAUUUUUAUAUUGAUUACACAUGGAGAUAAUAUUGUGAAUACAUUGGGCUAAAUAACAAUAUAUU
rnacentral:lncRNA from 13 species